rnacentral:rRNA from 1 species
UACAAUGGGCGAAAGCCUGAUGCAGCGACGCCGCGUGAGGGAUGACGGCCUUCCUUGGUUGUAAACCUCUUUCAGCAGGGACGAAGCGCAAGUGACGGUACCUGCAGAAGAAGCACCGGCUAACUACGUGCCAGCAGCCGCGGUAAUACGUAGGGUGCAAGCGUUGUCCGGAAUUACUGGGCGUAAAGAGUUCGUAGGCGGUUUGUCGCGUCGUUUGUGAAAACCAGCAGCUCAACUGCUGGCUUGCAGGCGAUACGGGCAGACUUGAGUACUGCAGGGGAGACUGGAAUUCCUGGUGUAGCGGUGAAAUGCGGCAGAUAUCAGGAGGAACACCGGUGGCGAAGGCGGGUCUCUGGGCAGUAACUGACGCUGAGGAACGAAAGCGUGGGUAGCGAACAGGAUUAGAUACCCUGGUAGUCCACGCCGUAAACGGUGGGCGCUAGGUGUGGGUUCCUUCCACGGAAUCCGUGCCGUACUAACGCAUUAACGCCCCCCUGGGGAGUAC